rnacentral:lncRNA from 1 species
UCGUUUUCAGGCAUGAUUUGCAUUCGAGACCGGCUAAUCAAGUUUCGUGUGAUUGCCGAUAUUGACAGCACCGGUCAAUAUCAUUAACCUUUCACUCACCCCGGUCAUCCACUUCGGAUGCCAUUAGCCAAAGCUAAUCAUUCAUUUGUCUCGGCCAUCCAUCCGGAUGUCAUUAGCCGAAGCUAAUCAUUCGUUGUCCCG